CAGGACAACCUUACCUUGUCUAUCCUUGUUCCUGAGGAGACCUCCCAGCACAGGAGGGAAUGGAACCUGCAUUAGAGUAUUUCAAGAGGAGCUCUGGCCAUCCAGGAAUGCUUUUUGAGGUUAUUUUGCAUCUAGACUGGCAUCUUCAUGAGGAAUAAUUGAACUAACUUCAGAUAUGGUCUUGAUAUCAUGAAGACUUUGCUUUCUACUGUCAACCAAAAAAAGUCUGGACUACAAAAUUAAGACCAGACAUCUAAAAGAUGCAUACCAUGAUGUAUAUGAAAAGAAGUUAAAAUGGAACAAGGAAGAAAAACAAGUAUUUUGGGUUUUCAUGAGAAAACUGUCCCUGAUCUUGCCAUCUUUUUCAUUCGAUGGAUCCUCAAACCUCCUUACUGCAGAAAGCAUGCACAUUUCAG